UACGGAGGGUGCAAGCGUUAUCCGGAUUCACUGGGUUUAAAGGGUGCGUAGGUGGGCAGGUAAGUCAGUGGUGAAAUCUCCGGGCUUAACUCGGAAACUGCCAUUGAUACUAUCUGUCUUGAAUACCGUGGAGGUCAGCGGAAUAUGUCAUGUAGCGGUGAAAUGCUUAGAUAUGACAUAGAACACCAAUUGCGAAGGCAGCUGGCUACACGAAUAUUGACACUGAUGCACGAAAGCGUGGGGAGCAAACAGG
rnacentral:rRNA from 1 species